rnacentral:rRNA from 1 species
GAUGAACGCUAGCUACAGGCUUAACACAUGCAAGUCGAGGGACCGGCGCACGGGUGAGUAACACGUAUCCAACCUGCCCUUUACCCGGGGAUAGCCUUUCGAAAGAAAGAUUAAUACCCGAUGUUAAGGAUGGGGUUGCGUUCCAUUAGGUUGUUGGUGAGGUAACGGCUAACCAAGCCUUCGAUGGAUAGGGGUUCUGGGAGGAAGGCCCCCCACAUUGGAUCUGAGGCACGGUCCAAACUCCUACGGGAGGCAGCAGUGUGGAAUAUUGGUCAAUGGGCGUUAGCCUGAACCAGCCGCGUAGCGUGAAGGAUGAAGGCUUAUGGGUCGUAAACUUCUUUUAUAUAAGAAUAUGUAUUAUAUGAAUAAGGAUCGGCUAACUCCGUGCCAGCAGCCGCGGUAAUUG